GUGGCCGUAGCUCAAUGGCAGAGCCGCGGGCUGUGAUCCCGCUGGUGCCGGUUCGAUCCCGGCCGGCCACCCCC
rnacentral:tRNA from 1 species